rnacentral:pre_miRNA from 1 species
AGUGCCAUUGCUGGGUUGUAUAGUAGUUGCAUGUUUAGUUUUUAAAGAAAGUGUGAAACUGUUUUUCAGAGUGGCUAUACUAUUUUACAUUCCCACCAGCAAU